GCUGGGCGUGGUGGCGCAUGCCUGUAGUCCCAGCUACUCGGGAGGCUGAGGUGGGAGAAUCGCUUGAACCCGGGAGGUGGAAGUUGCAGUGAGCCAAGAUCACGUCACUCUGCUCCGACCUGGGUAACAGAGCAAGACUCCAUCUCAA
ensembl:misc_RNA Metazoa_SRP Metazoan signal recognition particle RNA